GAUGAACGCUGACAGAAUGCUUAACACAUGCAAGUCUUUGGCGAAGCUGUGCUUGCACAGCCUAGCCAAGGCGGACGGGUGAGUAACGCGUAAGGAACUUGCCCUGCAGUCAGGGAUAACAGACGGAAACGACUGAUAAGACCUGGUAAAGUCAGGCGGACUCAUGUCCAGCCUGAUGAAAAGAGAUGCUGCAGGAGAGCCUUGCGUCCUAUUAGCUUGUUGGUGGGGUAACGGCCCACCAAGGCGAUGAGAGGUAGCCGGCCUGAGAGGGUGGACGGCCACAAGGGGACUGAGAUACGGCCCUUACUACUACGGGAGGCAGCAGUGGGGAAUAUUGGACAAUGGGGGCAACCCUGAUCCAGCAAUUCUGUGUGCACGAUGAAGGUUUUCGGAUUGUAAAGUGCUUUCAGCAGGGAAGAAAAAAAUGACGGUACCUGCAGAAGAAGCGACGGCUAAAUACGUG
rnacentral:rRNA from 1 species